rnacentral:lncRNA from 1 species
CUGGACUUGACAUUGCUUUCAAACGGGCAAGAGGAAGAGCUUAAAAGGCUUGAUGAGGCCUGCAAGGACUGGGGCUUCUUUCUGGUAAUGCCUUCUUUCUAAUUCUGCAAUCCGGUGGAGUUUUACUCAUUAUUGUACUGAACUGGGGUAUGCCCCAUUGUAAUAUGCUUCUUUAAUUUAUACAUUCAAAUUUAGCAAAAAAAUAAAAAUUAAUGAUUUGAUUUGAUACAUUGAAAUCAAAAAUUUAUUUCCAGUUGAUCAAUCACGGAAUCGAAGAAGAAGUAUUGAAACAUCUGAAGAGUGCUGCAGCUGAGUUUUUCAAACUUCCACUGGAAGAGAAGAAGAAAUAUCCAUUUGAUUCAGUUGCCAUAGAAGGCUAUGGCAGACCUUACCCUAUCUCUGAAGAUCAGACAGUUGACUGGUCGGACUCGCUAAUGUUCCGUCUCUAUCCAACCCGGGGUAGGAAACUUGAGGUUUGGCCAAACAAACCAGCACAACUCAAGUAUGUUUAUAUACACAACAAACACAGCAGACUACUAAUAUUUAUCCAGACACUUUGUAUCUUUUUUGGUACAAGAAUUUAAAAUGAUUUGAGUUGGAAAAUUUAUCCAACUGCAGGGGGGCUGUUGAAGCAUAUGCAGAUGAAAUCGGAAAAGUUACUGAAAGCUUACUUGGUUCUUUAUCCAUGAUCAUGGGAAUGAAAAAAGAUGCUCUGCUUCAACUACACAAAGAGAUGCAAGCAUCUAUGCGGAUGAACUACUAUCCGAUUUGCUGCAGACCUGAUAAAGUGUUGGGUUUGAGUCCACACUCUGAUGCAUCCACCAUAACUAUACUUGUGCAAGAUGAUGAUGAUGUUAAUGGAUUACAGAUUCGACAUGAUGGAGGCUGGGUUCCAGUAAAACUGAUACCAAACUCUCUGAUCGUGAAUGUUGGAGAUGUAAUGGAGGUAUUAGUCUCAACAAUGUCUUUUUAUUUUACUUCAAUGGCUAGCAAAACUAUGUUUUUACAAGCUUUUUCAAAAGUGAAAACCAUGGGAGUGGUUAGGAUGAAGCUCCCACCUGUGUGUCAGCACUGUAUUGGACAUGAAAGUGAACUUACCAUAAAGUUUACUCCAUGCUAACCGGAUCCGAAAACCAUAGAUCAUCAGAAAACUAUCAAUAACUUGUUUUAAAAACAGAUGUGGAGCAACGGAAAGUACAGGAGCAUUGAACAUAGAGCAGUGACAAAUGGAACAAGGGAGAGGAUCUCUUACGCAUCAUUUGUGGCGCCACAAAUGGAAGUGGAAGUUGAACCGCUGGAGCAGAUGGUAGAUGCCACAAAGCAGCAAAGAAUUUACAAGAAGGUCAAGUAUGAAGAUUACAUAAAACACAAUCUCCAACUAAAGCUAGAAGGAAAAGCACAUAUUGCAAAUUAUGCAGCUUAAGUUAACCAUUAGUUUUUCAAAGUUCUUCCUAUUCGAUUAUGUUAAAAGGCUGCACAAAGCAAAAAGAUUCCAUAAAGAUGUGAUCUUGUUAUUAGACUAGCGAGAUUCAACCAGAAUUCCCAAAGUUUCAGUCGUUAUGUUUUGUGUUCUUUUCUGCUCUUCAACUUCAUGAUUUUACUGGAGUUUAUUAAACUAAAGAUGCUCUAUAACAUAAGGAAUCCAACUUUAGCAACAACUUCAGAUUCAGGAGUCCCUGAAAAUCAGAUCAUAGUCUCAAUACAAGGAACUAUUUCCCUUGAAUAAAAGUGGACUAGAUACCCCUGGGGCCUGGGUAAACAUUAAUCAUGCCCGUCAUAUUCUUUUCCUGCAUUAAGAUUUAUAUAUCUUGUAGAACUCCAAAUCCACAUCUAUCUUGCACUGUAUAAACAGUAAAAAUAUUAUCUUCUAGUCUUUUUACAGCUAAUUAACUUAAUGCAAGGUAACACUAUAUAAUACUAUAUUAUAUGCCACCCUGAUUCCCCCCGUCUAUCCGCCAUUUCCAAUUAAUUGACAUUGACAUAACUCUAUUUUUUAGAAAUGCAUUUACUUUAUACAACUACGAUUCAAUAAACGUGACUCGACUGUCCUAGUCCUUCGUCCAAGGAAGUAGUAAUUCUAUGUAGUUUUAAUCAUAAUGGAAGCAAAUUCUAGUAAUAGCAGUAAAUUUUGAAGGUGUAAGAAUCAUAUCAAAUAGAAAAAUCAUGUGCAAUCAACUUCCAUAAAUAUAUUGUAAAAUUGAAGCAAACCCAUGUAUAUG